CCCCGCCGCCGCCGCCGGCAACCCCGCGCGGGCCUCCCUCUGAACUGCAGGGCCUGAGGAGCCGCGUGCCGGGGACCCGACCUCCGCCGUCGGCCGCCGCUGCUGAGGGGAAACCUCUCGCCUCCCCCCUGUCACCAGGUCCCCGCCGGAGGAAGGGGAGGGACGAGACGCGGCUUUUCCUGUGCCGCCUGCCGGGCUCGACCAGCGCGGCCUGCGGCUUCCUGGGAACUCGAGGGCCGCGGCCGGGCCUGGCUCUGCCCGCGGCCUGCUUUGGGAGCUGGACCGGGAGCAGUUUGGGACGCCAAGCCUGGCGAAGAGGCUUUUAAAAAACCAUGGCAGAUGUGGAUCCGGAUACAUUGCUGGAAUGGCUACAGAUGGGACAGGGAGAUGAAAGGGACAUGCAACUAAUAGCCCUCGAACAGCUAUGCAUGCUGCUUUUGAUGUCUGACAACGUGGAUCGUUGUUUUGAAACGUGUCCUCCUCGCACUUUCUUACCAGCCCUCUGCAAAAUUUUUCUUGAUGAAAGUGCUCCAGACAAUGUGUUAGAGGUGACAGCUCGAGCCAUAACAUACUACCUGGACGUAUCUGCAGAAUGCACCCGAAGGAUUGUUGGGGUAGAUGGAGCUAUAAAAGCACUUUGUAAUCGUUUGGUUGUGGUUGAACUUAACAACAGGACUAGCAGAGACUUAGCUGAACAAUGUGUAAAAGUGUUGGAACUGAUAUGCACCCGUGAGUCAGGAGCAGUUUUUGAGGCUGGUGGUUUGAAUUGUGUGCUUACCUUCAUUCGUGACAGUGGACACCUGGUUCACAAAGAUACCUUGCACUCUGCAAUGGCUGUGGUAUCAAGACUCUGUGGCAAAAUGGAACCUCAGGAUUCUUCUUUAGAAAUUUGUGUAGAAUCUCUGUCUAGUUUACUAAAACAUGAAGAUCAUCAGGUUUCAGAUGGAGCACUGCGAUGUUUUGCCUCACUAGCAGACCGAUUUACUCGUCGUGGUGUUGACCCAGCUCCAUUAGCCAAACAUGGAUUAACUGAGGAACUCUUAUCUCGAAUGGCAGCUGCUGGUGGUACUGUAUCAGGACCCUCAUCAGCAUGCAAACCAGGUCGAAGCACCACUGGAGCCCCUUCCACAACUGCUGAUUCCAAGUUGAGUAACCAAGUGUCAACGAUUGUAAGUUUGCUCUCAACACUUUGCAGAGGCUCUCCGGUAGUAACACACGAUCUCCUUAGGUCAGAGCUUCCAGAUUCAAUUGAGAGUGCAUUACAGGGUGAUGAAAGAUGUGUGCUUGAUACCAUGCGUUUGGUUGAUCUUCUGUUGGUGCUAUUAUUUGAAGGACGAAAAGCUUUGCCUAAGUCUAGUGCUGGAUCUACAGGCAGAAUCCCAGGACUUCGGAGAUUGGAUAGUUCUGGGGAACGUUCACAUCGGCAGCUUAUAGACUGUAUUCGAAGUAAAGAUACUGAUGCACUUAUAGAUGCAAUUGACACAGGAGCCUUUGAAGUGAACUUUAUGGAUGAUGUGGGUCAGACUCUACUGAACUGGGCCUCUGCCUUUGGAACUCAGGAAAUGGUAGAAUUUCUUUGUGAGAGAGGUGCUGAUGUUAAUAGGGGUCAAAGGUCAUCAUCAUUACAUUAUGCUGCCUGUUUUGGAAGACCUCAAGUAGCAAAGACUCUGUUAAGGCAUGGUGCAAAUCCAGAUUUAAGAGAUGAAGAUGGGAAAACUCCAUUAGAUAAAGCUCGUGAAAGAGGCCAUAGUGAAGUUGUAGCUAUUCUUCAGUCUCCUGGUGACUGGAUGUGUCCAGUUAAUAAAGGAGAUGAUAAGAAAAAGAAAGAUACAAAUAAGGAUGAAGAAGAAUGUAAUGAGCCCAAAGGAGAUCCAGAAAUGGCACCAAUAUACUUGAAAAGGUUAUUGCCAGUGUUUGCACAAACAUUUCAGCAAACCAUGCUGCCUUCAAUAAGGAAAGCAAGUCUUGCUCUAAUUCGAAAAAUGAUUCAUUUUUGCUCUGAAGCACUGUUAAAAGAAGUUUGUGACUCUGAUGUUGGUCAUAAUUUGCCUACAGUACUAGUGGAAAUCACUGCAACUGUUCUUGAUCAAGAGGAUGAUGAUGAUGGCCACUUGCUUGCUUUGCAGAUCAUAAGGGAUUUAGUAGAUAAAGGUGGUGAUAUUUUUUUGGAUCAGCUAGCCAGACUUGGUGUAAUUAGCAAAGUGUCAACUUUGGCAGGUCCCUCCUCUGAUGAUGAAAAUGAAGAGGAGUCAAAACCAGAAAAAGAAGAUGAACCGCAGGAAGAUGCUAAAGAAUUGCAGCAAGGUAAACCCUAUCAUUGGAGAGACUGGUCAAUCAUUAGAGGAAGGGACUGCUUAUAUAUUUGGAGUGAUGCUGCAGCUUUGGAAUUAUCUAAUGGCAGUAAUGGAUGGUUCAGAUUUAUCCUGGAUGGAAAACUUGCUACCAUGUAUUCAAGUGGUAGCCCUGAAGGUGGAUCAGAUAGUUCAGAAAGCAGAAGUGAAUUCCUAGAGAAACUACAAAGAGCUCGAGGGCAAGUAAAGCCAUCUACUUCAAGUCAACCUAUACUAUCAGCACCAGGACCCACUAAACUUACUGUUGGGAAUUGGUCACUAACAUGCUUAAAAGAAGGAGAAAUUGCUAUUCAUAACUCAGAUGGUCAGCAAGCUACAAUAUUGAAAGAAGAUUUACCUGGUUUUGUAUUUGAAUCUAAUAGAGGAACCAAACAUUCAUUUACUGCAGAAACUUCUCUGGGUUCAGAAUUUGUGACUGGCUGGACUGGCAAGAGAGGCAGAAAACUGAAAUCUAAAUUAGAAAAAACAAAGCAAAAGGUACGAACUAUGGCUCGAGAUUUAUAUGAUGACCACUUUAAAGCUGUUGAAAGCAUGCCUCGAGGAGUAGUGGUAACACUAAGAAACAUAGCAACUCAGUUAGAGUCAUCUUGGGAGCUUCAUACGAAUAGACAAUGUAUUGAAGGUGAGAACACUUGGCGUGAUUUAAUGAAGACAGCUUUAGAAAAUCUAAUUGUACUUUUGAAGGAUGAAAACACAAUUUCACCAUAUGAAAUGUGCAGUAGUGGUUUAGUACAAGCACUUCUUACUGUUUUAAAUAAUAGCAUGGAUUUGGAUAUGAAGCAAGAUUGUAGUCAACUGGUAGAAAGAAUAAAUGUUUUCAAAACAGCCUUUAGUGAAAAUGAAGAUGAUGAAAGUCGACCAGCAGUUGCGUUAAUUCGAAAGUUAAUAGCAGUACUAGAAUCAAUUGAACGAUUACCUCUCCAUUUAUACGAUACACCAGGAUCUACAUAUAACCUCCAGAUACUUACAAGGAGAUUGCGUUUUCGUUUGGAACGUGCACCUGGUGAAACUGCACUGAUUGAUCGGACUGGCAGAAUGUUGAAGAUGGAACCAUUAGCUACUGUUGAAUCUCUAGAACAGUAUCUCUUGAAGAUGGUAGCAAAACAGUGGUAUGAUUUUGACCGAUCUUCAUUUGUUUUUGUUCGAAAACUCAGAGAAGGCCAAAAUUUCAUAUUUAGACACCAGCAUGAUUUUGAUGAAAAUGGAAUCAUUUACUGGAUUGGGACAAAUGCAAAAACUGCGUAUGAAUGGGUUAAUCCUGCUGCCUAUGGACUUGUAGUAGUAACAUCAUCAGAAGGAAGAAAUUUACCAUAUGGUCGAUUGGAAGAUAUACUAAGUCGUGAUAAUUCAGCUUUAAAUUGUCAUAGCAAUGAUGAUAAGAAUGCCUGGUUUGCUAUAGAUCUGGGUCUCUGGGUGAUACCAUCAGCGUAUACACUUCGCCAUGCUCGUGGUUAUGGAAGAUCUGCACUGAGAAAUUGGGUUUUCCAGGUAUCCAAAGAUGGACAGAACUGGACUUCUUUGUAUACCCAUGUUGAUGACUGCAGUCUCAAUGAACCAGGAUCAACUGCAACCUGGCCUCUUGAUCCACCAAAGGAUGAAAAGCAAGGGUGGCGACAUGUGAGAAUUAAACAGAUGGGGAAGAAUGCUAGUGGUCAAACACACUACCUCUCACUAUCUGGAUUUGAACUUUAUGGCACUGUGAAUGGAGUAUGUGAAGAUCAACUAGGGAAAGCAGCUAAGGAGGCAGAAGCUAAUCUUAGAAGACAGAGACGUUUAGUACGCUCACAAGUUCUGAAAUACAUGGUUCCAGGUGCACGUGUUAUCAGAGGCCUUGAUUGGAAAUGGCGAGAUCAAGAUGGCAGCCCUCAAGGAGAAGGCACUGUCACAGGAGAAUUACAUAAUGGCUGGAUUGAUGUCACCUGGGAUGCUGGUGGCUCAAACUCUUACCGUAUGGGCGCAGAAGGAAAAUUUGACCUCAAGCUUGCACCAGGGUACGACCCUGAUACAGUGGCAUCACCCAAACCUGUUUCAUCCACUGUUUCAGGCACAACGCAAUCAUGGAGCAGCUUGGUGAAAAACAACUGUCCUGACAAGACAUCUGCUGCUGCAGGCUCCUCAAGUAGAAAAGGAAGCAGCAGUUCUGUGUGUAGCGUGGCCAGUAGCAGCGACAUCAGCUUGGGUUCGACCAAAACGGAACGGAGAUCAGAAAUUGUAAUGGAACACAGUAUAGUUUCAGGAGCUGAUGUCCAUGAACCAAUUGUUGUUCUUUCAUCUGCUGAAAACGUCCCUCAAACAGAAGUAGGGUCAUCUUCCAGUGCAAGCACCAGCACCUUAACAGCGGAAACGGGAAGUGAAAAUGUUGAAAGGAAGUUAGGCCCUGAUAGUUCUGUUCGUACUCCUGGGGAGUCUAGUGCAAUAUCCAUGGGAAUUGUUAGUGUUAGUUCUCCUGACGUUAGUUCAGUAUCUGAAUUAACUAAUAAAGAAGCAGCUUCACAACGACCUCUUAGCUCUUCAGCAAGUAACAGACUGUCAGUGAGUUCUUUGUUGGCUGCUGGGGCCCCCAUGAGCUCUAGUGCAAGUGUACCUAACCUGUCCUCAAGAGAAACAUCUAGCUUGGAGAGUUUUGUAAGGAGAGUGGCAAACAUAGCACGGACUAAUGCCACGAACAACAUGAAUCUAAGCCGAAGCAGCAGUGAUAACAACACUAAUACUUUGGGGAGGAAUGUGAUGAGCACAGCAACUUCUCCUCUUAUGGGUGCUCAGAGUUUCCCUAAUUUGACCACACCUGGUACUACAUCAACAGUGACCAUGUCAACAUCCAGUGUUACUAGCAGCAGCAAUGUAGCUACUGCAACGACAGUUUUAUCAGUGGGUCAGUCAUUAAGUAAUACUUUAACCACCAGCCUCACAUCAACCUCCAGUGAGAGUGACACCGGUCAGGAAGCAGAAUAUUCCUUAUAUGAUUUUCUUGAUAGCUGCCGUGCUAGUACUCUGUUAGCUGAACUCGAUGAUGAUGAGGAUUUACCUGAGCCUGAUGAAGAAGAUGAUGAGAAUGAAGAUGACAAUCAAGAGGACCAAGAAUACGAGGAGGUUAUGAUUCUGAGACGUCCAUCCCUGCAACGUCGAGCUGGCUCUCGCUCUGAUGUAACACAUCAUGCUGUCACCUCCCAACUACCACAGGUCCCUCCUGGAGCAGGGAGCCGACCUAUUGGGGAGCAGGAAGAAGAAGAGUAUGAAACGAAAGGAGGACGGCGGAGAACAUGGGAUGACGAUUAUGUGCUAAAGCGGCAAUUUUCUGCUCUAGUCCCAGCUUUUGAUCCUAGGCCUGGUCGUACUAAUGUCCAACAGACAACUGACCUAGAAAUUCCGCCCCCAGGAACACCUCAUUCAGAGCUCUUGGAAGAAGUUGAAUGUACUCCCUCACCUCGAUUAGCCCUCACUUUGAAAGUAACUGGUCUUGGAACAACUCGUGAAGUUGAAUUGCCACUCACCAAUUUCAGAUCAACCAUCUUUUAUUAUGUACAAAAAUUACUUCAGUUGUCCUGUAAUGGCAAUGUGAAAUCAGAUAAACUUAGACGUAUUUGGGAGCCAACAUACACGAUCAUGUACAGAGAAAUGAAGGAUUCGGACAAGGAAAAGGAAAACGGAAAAAUGGGCUGCUGGUCUGUAGAGCAUGUGGAACAGUACCUGGGCACUGAUGAAUUACCAAAGAAUGACUUGAUAACCUACCUGCAGAAGAAUGCAGAUGCUGCUUUCCUGCGUCACUGGAAAUUAACUGGCACUAAUAAAAGUAUUAGGAAAAACAGAAAUUGUUCUCAGCUCAUAGCUGCAUAUAAGGAUUUUUGUGAACAUGGAACAAAGUCUGGAUUAAACCAGGGCGCCAUAUCUAGUCUUCAAAGUAGUGACAUUCUUAAUUUGACAAAAGAACAACCUCAGGCUAAAGCAGGCAAUGGACAGAAUUCUUGUGGAGUAGAAGAUGUCCUUCAGCUUCUGCGUAUUUUGUAUAUAGUUGCGAGUGACCCUUAUUCAAGAAUAUCCCAAGAAGAUGGUGAUGAGCAGCCUCAGUUUAUUUUUCCACCAGAUGAAUUUACUAGCAAAAAAAUCACAACAAAAAUUUUGCAGCAGAUUGAGGAACCACUGGCAUUGGCAAGUGGCGCUCUGCCAGACUGGUGUGAACAAUUAACCAGCAAGUGUCCUUUUCUAAUACCUUUUGAAACUAGACAGCUUUAUUUCACAUGUACAGCAUUUGGUGCAUCAAGAGCAAUAGUGUGGUUACAAAACCGACGUGAAGCCACUGUGGAACGAACAAGGACCACAAGCAGUGUAAGGCGAGAUGAUCCUGGAGAAUUUAGAGUUGGUCGUCUCAAGCAUGAAAGAGUAAAAGUCCCACGUGGGGAAUCACUGAUGGAAUGGGCUGAGAAUGUCAUGCAAAUACAUGCAGAUCGGAAGUCAGUUCUUGAGGUUGAAUUUUUAGGAGAAGAAGGAACUGGCUUGGGACCCACAUUAGAAUUUUAUGCUCUGGUGGCAGCAGAAUUCCAGAGAACUGACUUGGGAGCUUGGCUUUGUGAUGAUAAUUUUCCAGAUGAUGAAUCUCGCCAAGUGGAUCUUGGAGGUGGAUUGAAACCUCCUGGUUACUAUGUACAGAGAUCAUGUGGACUGUUCACAGCACCGUUCCCACAAGAUAGUGAUGAGCUUGAAAGGAUCACAAAACUCUUUCAUUUCCUUGGUAUUUUCUUGGCUAAAUGUAUUCAAGACAAUAGACUUGUGGACAUACCUAUUUCUAAGCCCUUCUUUAAACUUAUGUGUAUGGGUGACAUUAAAAGCAAUAUGAGUAAACUGAUUUAUGAAUCACGAGGUGAUAGAGACUUACACUGCACUGAAAGCCAGUCUGAAGCUUCUACAGAAGAAGGCCAUGAUUCACUGUCAGUAGGAAGCUUUGAAGAGGAUUCAAAAUCUGAAUUUAUUCUUGAUCCCCCUAAGCCCAAACCCCCAGCUUGGUUUAAUGGAAUUUUAACUUGGGAAGACUUUGAACUUGUAAACCCACACAGAGCCAGAUUUUUAAAAGAAAUUAAGGACCUUGCUAUCAAGAGACGACAGAUUUUAAGCAACAAAAGUCUUUCUGAAGAUGAGAAGAACACAAAAUUACAGGAACUAGUACUGAAGAAUCCAUCAGGUUCUGGUCCUCCACUUAGCAUAGAGGAUUUAGGAUUAAAUUUCCAGUUUUGCCCUUCUUCUAGAAUUUAUGGUUUUACAGCUGUGGAUCUCAAGCCAAGUGGUGAAGAUGAGAUGAUAACAAUGGAUAAUGCAGAAGAAUAUGUGGAUUUGAUGUUUGACUUUUGUAUGCAUACAGGUAUUCAGAAACAGAUGGAAGCCUUUAGAGAUGGGUUUAAUAAAGUUUUUCCAAUGGAGAAAUUAAGUUCCUUCAGUCAUGAGGAAGUCCAGAUGAUUCUUUGUGGAAACCAGUCACCUUCAUGGGCAGCAGAAGAUAUUAUCAAUUACACUGAACCUAAGCUAGGUUAUACACGUGACAGCCCUGGUUUCCUGAGGUUUGUGAGAGUUUUAUGUGGCAUGUCUUCAGAUGAGAGGAAAGCGUUCCUGCAGUUUACCACUGGUUGUUCAACUCUACCCCCAGGCGGACUGGCUAACCUCCAUCCCAGACUCACAGUUGUACGAAAGGUUGAUGCUACUGAUGCAAGCUAUCCAUCAGUCAAUACAUGUGUACAUUAUCUUAAGUUGCCUGAAUAUUCUUCUGAGGAGAUCAUGAGAGAACGAUUGCUAGCUGCUACAAUGGAGAAAGGCUUUCAUCUCAAUUGAGUUCUGAAGUAAAAUGGGAGUCAUCAGAGACUUAAAAUUCUAGUGAAGCGCCUCUUGUGUUUGUGUGCAGAGAAAUGUGAUCCUCCACGCUAAUGACACUUGCCUUUUAUCCCACCAUUAAGGCUUUAAGAACAUGUGGAAUAACUUUGUUAGCUGCUAAUGACAAAAAAAAAAAUCCUUUAACUACCCAGCCAGCAGGUAUAUUGCACAGGACAGGACACUGUGUUGAUUCACAAGGGCUCAUGUGACUGGAAAAGAUGGUCCCACUCACUCAACUGUUCCAAAGAGCAGCUUCUCAGAUCUUCAGUGUUCACUGGAGCAAAGCAAGCCAAAGCCAUUGUCCAAGGUCACAGAACUGGGAAAUGCCAGAGCUGGAAUUUAAGCCCACUGUUGGUGUUUAAGGGCUCUGCUCUCCAGGCUUCUCUAGGGGACCUCAAGGCUGUCAAGCAGGCACACAUCCCUGGCCCCUAAAUCGCUACCCCCGCCCCCUCAAUGAUGCCUUGAUAGCCCUGCAGCAUCAGCUAUCUUCUCUGCCAGACUGAAGUAGAAGGUAAGGCAUACCAAUUAAAUUUCCCAAGAAAAUAAAAGUUCUGAAUUUUUCUUACAAAUGCAUAGUUCUUGGAAAUUAAGCCACUUUUACUGGUGUUCUUAUUGGAAAGUUACUCUAGUGCAUAGGGGAAGUAGAAAGUAACAAAAAAAUGAUUCCUAGUAAACUAGAAAGAACCAAUGGUUCCCCUAAGAAACCCUUAAUCUGAGUCCUUAUGUUGUGAAAGAUAGUAACAAAUGAGGUGAACUUAAGUUUCCAUUCCUAAACAGGUUAGAUUGCAAAACACCCAGCAAGUUUCAAAUAGACACUUUAAGUGAUUAAGUUCACUAGAAAAGCCAAGCACCGGAGGCUCAUGCCUGUAAUCAUAACUACUCA